GAUGAACGCUGGCGGCGUGCCUAAUACAUGCAAGUCGAGCGGACCAAAGAGAGCUUGCUCUCUGAGGUUAGCGGCGAACGGGUGAGUAACACGUGGGUAACCUGCCUGUAAGACGGGGAUAACUUCGGGAAACCGAAGCUAAUACCGGAUGAUAAAGAGAAACGCCUGUUUCUUUUUUGAAAGUCGGCCUUGUGCUGACGCUUACAGAUGGGCCCGGGGCGCAUUAGCUAGUUGGUGAGGUAACGGCUCACCAAGGCGACGAUGCGUAGCCGACCGGAGAGGGUGAUCGGCCACACUGGGACUGAGACACGGCCCAGACUCCUACGGGAGGCAGCAGUAGGGAAUCUUCGGCAAUGGACGAAAGUCUGACCGAGCAACGCCGCGUGAGCGAUGAAGGCCUUCGGGUCGUAAAGCUCUGUUGUCAGAGAAGAACAAGUACCGGAGUAACUGCCGGUACCUUGACGGUACCUGACCAGAAAGCCACGGCUAACUACGUGCCAGCCGCCGCCGUAAUAC
rnacentral:rRNA from 1 species